rnacentral:lncRNA from 1 species
CACGAACAGUAAAGUGGGGGACCUAAGUGACCCCAAUCUAUAUUUUAAAUUUUAAACACAUUUAUUGUAAUAUUUCUUUACAAAUAUAUAUAUAUAUAUAGACAUCCUUUGAAAUUAUUUUAACCUUCAAACUCUACAUACCCUUUUUAUUAUCUUUUUAUUGCCUUUUUGUUACCUCAUAACACAAAGCUUAGGUUAGGUUAGUUUUUUUCUUUUUUGGAUACUUGUAGGUCCAAUAAAUUUUUUUUUUUCCACUCUGCUGUAUCACACCCAAGACACUUAGCAAUUUUUGCACACUUUCUGUGUUCUUCACACACUCACUUUUGGCACAAGUCACAUUUCACUUUGGACUUCUUGUCUCCUUUCCUUGUGCAGAUGAAACACCUUCCUCGUUUUGCAUUCCUGGUCUGAUUUUGACCUGAAGUCAUCCCUUCUGCAGUUCCCUCCUUUGACAGUGCUUCGGGGAAAGCUGUCUCAAUAUCUUUCUUGAUAUCCUUGUGCAUAUUUUGCGUCAUUCGUAUGCAAGAGACCACUGAGGGUAGUGCUAAUUCCUAAUUGACUCAGUAUCCAUUAUCUGUGGUAAAAUUGAAAAAAAAAAAAGACAGAUCAUAAAAUAGUGCAAUCUCCACUAUAUCUUGAAAGAAUAGCACACCACUAAGCACUAGUAGCAGUAACUACACAAAGCAUGCAAAUUACAAGUGCGAGAUUGCUAAAAGGAAGACACCACCAAGCGUUACUAACAGUAACUACAGAAAGUAUGAAAAAUUUCGAAUGCGAGAUUUUAAUGCUAAAGAGAGCUGAAAAAUAUUUGUUUGAGAAUAAAUUUUUAAGAACCGUCUUACGUUAUUAUUCUAGAAAAAUAAAUAGAGGCAUAUUUAGAAGCAACGAAUUUCUGCUAGAAAUGUAUAAAUUAAGUUGAAAUGUUUGGGGGACCUUGGGUCCCCCGUUUUUAAUUAUUAUGAAUGAAAAAUUUUGGUAUUGUAUACGUGAAGAGCGGGAGACCUAAGGUUCCCCAAUACAAUCAAAUAUUAUUUUGUCGUUAAAUGGCGCAGCCAAAACUAACCACUAGGCUUCCAAAAGAUAGUUGUUUAAAAAGCGACACAUAGCUAGAAGAUCAAUAUUUUUCAAAAAAUAUAUUGGAGAGAAUAACGAAAAACCAGCCGGUAGGGGACCUGGGGACCUAAGGUUCCCUGCUUGGCCGUCUGAGGGUUAAAAGAAACUUCUUUUGAAUUGAUUAAAAUUUGUGGAAUGAUCACUGAUAUCAGUUGUAGAUUUUUAAAUUUACUAAAAGCUUAUUUUUUUCUUAUGUUUAUAAAGUAGAC